UGGCUCUCGCAUCGAUGAAGAACGCAGCGAAAUGCGAUAAGUAAUGUGAAUUGCAGAAUUCAGUGAAUCAUCGAAUCUUUGAACGCACCUUGCGCCUUUUGGUAUUCCGAAAGGCACACCUGUUUGAGCGUCCCGGCUCGUUGAACCAUCAAAUUUUUUUAUUGAAGUCUGUAUGGUUCAGAUCUUGAGCGCUGCUGUGACUUUGGAACAGCUCGCUUUAAAUUUAUCAGCCAAUUCUUGACCAUUCGGAUUGACUCAACGUGAUAAUAUUUUCGUUGAGGACGCUUGUGCGGCCGAGUGACCGGGGAUGGCUUCUAGUCCGCAUUUUUGCACUUUAAAUUUAGACCUCAAAUCAGGUGGGACUACCCGCUGA
rnacentral:misc_RNA from 1 species